UACGUAGGUGGCGAGCGUUGUCCGGAUUUACUGGGCGUAAAGCGUAUGCAGGCGGAUUGUUAAGUAGGAAGUGAAAGGUUGGAGCUCAACUCCAACACUGCUCCCUAUACUGGCAGUCUUGAGUGGCGGAGAGGAAGACGGAACGACACGUGUAGCGGUGAAAUGCGUUGAUAUGUGUCGGAACACCAAUGGCGAAAGCAGUCUUCUGGACGCAAACUAACGCUGAGAUACGAAAGCCAAGGUAGCAAACAGG
rnacentral:rRNA from 1 species